rnacentral:rRNA from 1 species
UGGCGGACGGGUGAGUAACGCGUGGGUAACCUGCCUCAUACAGGGGGAUAACAGCUAAAAAUGACUGCUAAUACCGCAUAAGACCACAGUACCGCAUGGUACAGGGGUAAAAACUCCGGUGGUAUGAGAUGGACCCGCGUCUGAUUAGGUAGUUGGUGGGGUAACGGCCUACCAAGCCGACGAUCAGUAGCCGACCUGAGAGGGUGACCGGCCACAUUGGGACUGAGACACGGCCCAA